GAGUAGCUGAAAAAUAGAAGGAUUCCUUGGGAUAGGUUAUACCUUCCUGGGAGACAUCUGUUGUCUGGCCCAUAUUGGGGGGGUAACGGGGAGUAGGGUGCCCAGGCCAAAGCACAGGCAUGCCAGUGGGAGGAUGUAGUUGGGAGCAACUUCUCAGAUCAUGACUUUCAUCUGGCAAACCACCUUCCUUGGCUGGGGCUCUUGGAAAGCCAUUUGGUUCCCCCCGGCCACCCUGCUCUCAUUAAAAUGGAGAGUUUUACAUUUCUCCUCCAGGCCUUUACUGGGACAGGCCCUGGCAUCCUGAGAGCCCCUACAAAACUUCAGAGGAGCACUGGGUUUCACUUCUUGGAGGGGCUGUCCUGGCCUGUGCAGCCUGCCUGGAGGGAAAUGACGGCCAGAUAUAGGAGGUGCCCGGAGUCAGUGCUCUGCAUGUCCACCCUGGGCUCAGCGGCUGCUGGGAGGUGCUGUCCCCAUUGCACGCACAGCCAGGGGAGCAGGCCUUGUGUUUGGGAAACAGAUUCAAUGCCCUCUGGGUUGAUGUAGGGGGUUGGCAUAGGGAGAGGGACCCAAUCCUGAGGUUCAUUUGCAAAAAAUAAGGAAGAAUUGGCUUUAGGCAGUGUUCAGUAAAUGAGGGCAAGCCCUCUGGAGUCUCUGAUCCCACUGGUCCCUAGCUUCUAUCUUGGGGCCAAGGCUUAGCCUGGAAGAUUCCCUUGGACCAGGGCCGAGGGCAGGCGCCUGCUCUGGGGCACCUAUCAGAGGCAGCACAGCAUCUUGAGUUUGGGGGCCACUGUCCAGUGGAGCCAAAGUUAACCCCUCAACCUCUGAGAUCGGCUGGCCCAUCACCCAUCUUGUGUGGAGGGGCAGGCUCACUGGGCCCCACAGCCCUGUGGAGAUUUCAAAUGACACUCCAAAGGUGCCUCCCCUCAAGGCUGCAGGAAAUCAAGGGGACUUAAGGAGGCCUUGGCCCAAGGAGCUGUUGCUGGGGGCAGGAGUCAGUAUUGGGGUACAGAGGGAUGCCAACACAAGGAGGCCUUGUUGGAGGAGAGCACCAAGUGAUUUCUGUGGCCCCUGAGUGUGCUAGAGGACAGGGACACAAGCAGCCAUCGAGCUGGGCAUUCCCUCCUCAGAUGGAGAGGAGGCUCAGGAGAGCAGAGGGGGCUCCAGUCACAUUGCACGGAGUGCUACACAUUCUAUAUGGUGAAUGGCACCCCCUGGAGUUGUGCAGGGAGGGGGAGGUAAGGACAGACCCAGGAGAGCCGAGGAGGGGCUCUUGAAUGGAAAGGAGAGAAAAGGAAGGACUCAGACUGGAACACCAUGGUAGGCCUCUGGGCCUGACUCCAGGCCCUCGGGACUGGGGAGGACGCGCGGUAAUUGGGAGACGCUGUGAAGGGGUCUUAGCUCCCAGUUGCACUCACUUCACAUCCUACCGGAGGGCGGUUCAGGGGUGAGAUUUGCACCGGGAGGCAGAGGAUUCUGCUCUUGCAGGAUUGCCCCAUCCCACAGGGACGCGAGGACAGGCCUGAGCCAUGCUAGACAGAGGCCCAGCAGGAGAGCAGGCGCUCCCCAGUUUCCCCACCCUGCCCCCACCACGGGGGUCGAGGGGAGUUGUUGUUGUUGUUGUUGAAUCCAGAAAAACACAACAUUUAACAUCUAUAAAGGUGCAGUAUGAGUCAUUUCACGGAAUGUCUAGGCCCCUUUGCUGGCAGCAAACAAACUUUCCAGCCCUCUUUUGAGGAAGCCUUCCAACUGGGCUGCUGCCGCUGGUUUGUGUGUGAGAGUGUGUGAGUGUGUGUGGAUCUGUGUGUGGGAUGGGUCUCUGGAGGACCUUGCCUGCCUAUGUGUGAGUCCGUGUGGGUCCCUCAGAUGUGAGUGAGAGUGUAACCGUGGCUGGGGUGUGUGUGUGUGUGUCUGCACACACACAUGCACGCACAUGGGCUCGACUCUUGGAUGCGAGUGUCAAGUCCCCCCAUGCGUGCGCGUGUGUUUGUGGAGGGCGUGUGCAUGUGUGUGUCUGCAAGGCGGUGUGGUAUGUGAGCCUGUGCCUCACAGGGUGUCUACGUGUACAUUUUUUUUUCCACAUCGCUGCCAAAUUAUCUUCCCAUCUCUCCCCUCACGAAGUGAAGGGCUAGCUGAGGGAAGCUAGCGGUCUAAGUGGGGGGGCAGCUGCGGAGUGGAGGGGGUUGGAGGGAAACCAAAGCAAUUCCACUCGUCGGAGGAAAGUGUCAGCCAAGGAUGAAACUGAAACCGAGGCAGCAGCUCUAAGGCACCAGCACCCUGGGAUCGUCCCGGGGCUUAGGUUCCUCCCACUCCCCCGCCUCCUCCAGCCAGCUAUGGAGAUUAGUCAGCCUGAAAUUCCCAUCCCUGCAGCCUCGACUUGGGGUUGAAGCAAUGAGGCUGGUCUAGAAAUUGGCCCAUGGUUAGCACGUGACCCCAUUAGCGCCCAUUAUCACAUUAACACAAAUUAGUAUAUCAGAUCCUCUCCCAGUCACCUAGUGGAGCGCAGGGCCAGGCUGGAGGGAGAGGUCCAGCUCUGGGAGGAGAAGCCAGCAUGUGAGCAUCAAGGGAGGGGGCAGGCUGAGGACUGUGGCGGGUCAGGUUGGGGACAGAAGGAGGGCACAAGGGACAUCAAGCUUUGACAAUAGGAUUCUUUGCCUAGGUUGUGCUCUGGGAGGAGACACCUUGAGGAGGGGGUUAGUAGAAAGGAGGGGGUUUCCAGGAACAGCUGGGCACCGCCCUGUAGGAAGGAGGCCCGGGCUCUGAGGUCUGGGCGGGAGACAGACGGUAUUUCUCCUGGCACACAGGGAAACCUGGGAACGUUUAGGAUCCUUUGGGUUUUUUUUUCCCCUUUCCUCUUCUUUAUGGAAAAUCCUUAGAUAACUUUCUCAGAUGGCUCUGGGCAUCCUGCAAGCAGGGGAGCUGGACUGACUGACAGAGAAGAGGUAUCCAGAACACUAGUACAGGGCAAAGCUUUUAUAUCUUGGCACAGAUAAGGGUGACACACUCUACCUAUGUAUUUAUAUGUAAAGUUGUAUCAGGGGAAUAACCAGACACUGGAGACUCUGGAAAGGGUGAGACUGGAGCCCCCGCCACUUUUUUUUUCAGCUUAAAGGUGUCUGACCACAGGUUAUUUUUGUGCCCUGAUAUUCUCAAUAUGUUAACUAUAAACAGCCACCACAUAACCAUGAACCAACACGGGAAGGUCAGCUGCAUCAUGACUUCUGGAGCUCAGGGCCUGCACCGAGGCAGGGCACAAAGCUCUAUCAACCGAGACCAAGGUUGCAAGUUUGAGCCCUAAAUGGGCCUCUUCGCUUUUUUUUUUUUCUCACAUAGCUGCUCGAUCGACAAGCACGAAAUCCCUAACCAUCGCCCAAGGCUGAGUCCCUACCCCUCAUCUAGUCCAAACUCUGGUCCCAGACCGCGCUCCAACCCAGGCCACAGUCUAUCCCUGGGCAGGAGAUGCAGUUUUGGUCUCAAGGGAGCCAGGCUGGAGAGUGGCUGUUCAGGGAAACCCACCCCUAAUGCCCGAGACGCGACUCAAAGUUUCCAUUCUACUGCCCGCGGGUCGAGGGCGCCAUCCCCGGAGAGGAAACGUUGACCCUGAACCGCAAUCCUUUAGUUGGAGGUGAGCCGCCCCGAGCUCUGCGAGGGCCCGGGAGGUGGCCCGAGGGACCCUGAAGAAGCGCUCACCAGGCAGCCCCACUUCUGGACGCUAGCGCAGCAGGUCGGCUCUGGGGACUCUGCCGCCACUCGAGUGGAAGCGCCGGGUCCGGGCGGCAGUGGGGAUUGUGGCGGCCCCUCCUGCCUUCCUCUCGCCGCCCCCUUGCUGGGCGCGCGCGCCCUGCAUGGGCGGGAUCCCCGCGGGUGCUGAGUUUCCCCUCCCGACCCCCAGCAGCGAGCCCAGGGCGCCUCUGCAGCGCCACCUGCAGGCCGAACGCGCGCAGCGCCGCAUCUCGGGCCGAGGCGGGAACUGGCUACAGAGAGGGCGGAGGAGAUGGGGAGAGGUCGACUCCGCGGCUACGAGCGGUCCACGCUCGCCAGCGGCCUCCUGGCCCCGCCCGGGUCCCGCGCCCCGUCCAGUGCCCCGCCCGGCUCUCCGACCUUCUACUCCUGCUGCUGCACGCGGAGCGGCCUCCUGCCGCGAGCGCCUCUUCUCGGGAAGCGGUGAAGCCACACUGAGCCCGAUCUGCUGACUCAUGAGAAUCCUCCCCGUCUCCGGCACACCCCUCGAAACUUCCCCUCAAUCCCUUCUUUCCUGCCCCCACUUCCUCGAGCCCCAGCAGGCCAGGACAAGGGCUGGCGCCACCAAGGGGACAAAUGUGGAGUGCUCUGAGCCUUGAGCUGCCCUCGACUCCUACUAAAAGUCCAACUGCUUCGAGAGGAAGAAACGCGGGCAGGGAGCACUUCCUGGAAUCUGAAGAAGCAGCCAUGGGAGAAGAGAAACAAGGAGCAGAGGAAGGAGGGGAGAUAAAGGCGCUAAGGAAAAGUGAAGAGGAAGCGAGAGGGGCUACUGAUCUCUUUGGACAAGGAGACUAUCAGCUGCAUUCUCUGGUCUCAGCGUAUUACACAUGUGCACCGUGUUGGGUGCUCCUCCAGAAGCACCUCUGUGUUGUGCUGCAAAUAUCAAGACAUCACAGUCGGGACCCGGCCUGGGAAGCCAGUCACCUCUGUCCAGACACCAAAUGGGACUCCUGUGCGUCUCCAACUCAGACACAGACCUUGGAGGCUCCACUGGGACUUGUGCUUUGUGUGUCUUCCUAUGGAAAUAUCCGACUGUAUCAUACUUCUGCGCUCACAUGUCUCCUUUCCUCACUGGCACCAGGAGCUCCUUAGAAGAAGUGGCCAUGUUUUCUCCAUCUUCCUAUUCUGCCAUCUACCUGGCUCAUAGUAAGCACUCAAUGAAUACUGAUUAGAUGAAGAGAUCAUUUCAUUUUAAUUCACUGAAUUAUUAACAACAUUCCAUACAGAAUGACAGCCGUCAAAGAAUUAGACUAAAUUGCACAUAACAAGGUGAGUCAUAAUUUGAUCUUUUUAGAAAUUUGUGAAACGCUUCAGGAUCUUGUGGUGUAUUACUGUAUAAGUCCCAUUUCACAUGCUACUAGAUGAGCUUUCUACCUAAAGAUUGAGAUAUGCCAGGCAUCAGAUCCUAUUUCACUAAACCUGUAUACAUUUAGUAAGAACCUGUUCUGGUGCAGCUAGUUCUUAAAGUGGACAUCUGUCCUGUUCUAGUGUUCAGAAGAGAUUUCAUUGUAGCUGCAACUCCCUUUAAACAAACUCAAGAUUGAAAACAAAAUCCAGCCUGGUAAUAAUUUUCUCUUUACAAAAAGAUUCAUAAUGGACACUUGAAAGUAGGAAAAAUUUCCUCUUAAUUGAAAUAAGAUUUGAUUUUUAAAAGAUAAGUAAUCUGAAAUUCAAAAAGUGAGUUGAUUUAUGAAACCGGCUUCUAUUCCCAGGAAAUCAUCUAUAAAGUGAGGCAUGCCUAUAAGCCUAUUUGAGAUGAAAGGGGUUAGGAGAGGACAGAUUUCUAGUCUGGGGACAGUGGGCAAAGGAGUUGAGAGACAGACCAUGAUCUCUCAAAGAGUCAGGCUCCAGGUUUAGCCAUGAAGCACCAGGUCUUUGAUCCUUUGUUUCUGUUUGCAAUAAAUGUCUUUUCUGCCCUCCCCUCCCACGACCAACUCAGUUUGGGGCCAGAGGGUACAUACAGGAGUUGUUCCAGGUAGAGCAGAGUCUAGUCCACAGGUUUAUGUGUUCACUCAUUCAACGAUUUACUAAGUACCAACUAUGAGCCAGACCCUGUGCUAAGCUCUGGAGAGCGAGCCCUAAGCAAGACAGUAAAGCCAGAGUUCCGGCUUCCAGGAAGCUGCAGAGCAGCAGGGAGACACGGAAACAAGGAACAGGCUUGGAAAGGUCGGGAAAGUCUUCAUAGAGACCAGGACCUUCCCCAGAGGAGGGGAGAGGCAUCAAGUGCUAUGGGCAAGGGCAACAACAGGCCAAUACAGAAAGGUCUGGAGGGGCGAGGGAGAAGUUCAGGGAACCAAAAAAAGUUUCGAGUGAAGCAGGGAAAGCAAGGCUGAGGAAGAUCAUGCACUUGGUAGGAGCUCCAACUGGCUUGCUCUCUAAUAUGCAGAGCUUUCCUCCCUUCACCCACUCGCUCCCUUUCAAAGAGAACAGAAAUUAAUUUAGAAGAAGCAGGUUUUAUUUAGUGAUGUGAACGUUAAGAAUUGCCUACAUGGUUGAAAUAUUCACAAAGGACUUGAUCAUUCACACUCAUACAUCCAGAGGACGUCUGCUGAAUAAAAAAUGCUCCUUUACCCAUCCAAGUUGCUGUCAGGGACAGUGAAGUGCCUGCCUAUUCCACGGAGGCCUCAGUCUUCAUGAAUGUUGAAGAGUUUGGCUACUUCAUUGAGAUCUUCAUGUUGCUCACCGUCCUUAAUGAUCUAAGGGAGAUGGUAACAAUCAGUAUAACUCACUCCGUGUGCAUUUGGGCCACACUUUAUGACAGGGCAGCCUGGGCCAGUCCCCACUUCACACUGGGAGGGACGUGUGGGAACGGCUUUCUACCCAGGCCAAGUGAGCAUGUGCCAACGGCCAGGCCACCCAGCCAAGUCCGGAGUAGAAAAGAAACAGUCCUGAGCCAAGGCUAGACCUUUGUUCUGCUCGGGCACAGUCUGACCUGGGUGGACAAUGCAUGGCAGGGCACCCGAUGAAGUCACAGGAGGGUUUCCGGCCCACACUUCCCAUCUCCUUCUUAGAGCUCUGCCAGGCACCUACCUUCCUUGCUAUCGGCAUUCGGUUGAAGAUGUUCCACAGCACGAUCCCCACCACCACUUUGUCCCUGAGGUAGAAGAUGACACCUUUGCCGUAGUCCUCCCCUUGAGUGGGGGCCUGGGGAACUGCAGGGUUGCUGGGAGGAAGAGUGAUUUCUGA